rnacentral:misc_RNA from 1 species
AAGUCGUAACAAGGUUUCCGUAGGUGAACCUGCGGAAGGAUCAUUAACACGUAUCCAAACGUUAAAACAACCCUGUGAAUAUUAACGCGUGUUCUUUCAAAGCACCCUGGUACCCUCUGAUUUAUCACCAAUGUCUGAAAGUGUCAAGUGAUGGUCAGGGGUAACGCAGUCAACGAUCGCUGUAGGUCCACACGACUACGUCACCCCUAUGUACCCUCCGGGACUUGGCGAAAGCUGACUCCGUCAUAAAUCGAACAACUGUUAACAAUGGAUAUCUUGGUUCUC